rnacentral:rRNA from 1 species
UAUGAACGCUGGCGGCGUGCCUAAUACAUGCAAGUCGAGCGAACAGAUGAGAAGCUUGCUUCUCUGAUGUUAGCGGCGGACGGGUGAGUAACACGUGGGUAACCUACCUAUAAGACUGGGAUAACUCCGGGAAACCGGGGCUAAUACCGGAUAAUAUUUUGAACCGCAUGGUUCGAUAGUGAAAGACGGUUUCGGCUGUCACUUAUAGAUGGACCCGCGCCGUAUUAGCUAGUUGGUAAGGUAACGGCUUACCAAGGCGACGAUACGUAGCCGACCUGAGAGGGUGAUCGGCCACACUGGAACUGAGACACGGUCCAGACUCCUACGGGAGGCAGCAGUAGGGAAUCUUCCGCAAUGGGCGAAAGCCUGACGGAGCUACGCCGCGUGAGUGAUGAAGGUCUUCGGAUCGUAAAACUCUGUUGUUAGGGAAGAACAAAUUUGUUAGUAACUGAACAAGUCUUGACGGUACCUAACCAGAAAGCCACGGCUACUACGUGCCAGCCGCCGCCGUAA